rnacentral:rRNA from 1 species
ACCAGCCCACCACGGCACGUUGUGAGGUCACCCACAGGCUCAACUUUCGAUUGUGAACCUUGACGCCGAGCAGCACAAUGCGUGUCGCUUAUGUUCCUAACCAGGCAACGCUGCCAGGACCGUGGAACGACACGCGCUCAACAGUCAGGUUCGAGCGAUGACAGAGUUCUGGUACGAUCCUCUUGCGACGAGCCGGCUUCUGGCCAAAAUCCGCUGCUCAGGUCUCCCGCAUGUGCCGCGGGAGAUCGCCCUUGACGGUCUGGAGCUUUUACAAGUCCUCUCAGUCGGGCAACGGAUAGAGUGGUGUAAAGUCCAAGCCCAUCGGUCACGUCUCGAAACACGGGCCAAGGAGUAUAGCAUGUGUGCAAGUCUAAGGGUCUCACAAAACCCGAAGGCGAAGUGAAAGCAAGUAAGCGGCGGGUGAUCUACGGAGAGAUCCCGUCAGCUAGAGGGACCCUCGGGUCUCUCCGGCUUUGGCAGAGUUGAUCCUGCAGCGGUACCGCACACGUACGCUCAGGCGCAAACUCCAGGCUCACGUUUCGCACUGGUUCUCGGACUGUGCUGUGAGCACUGUGGAGCAUGCAUGCUAUGACCCGAAAGAUAGUGAACUAUGCCUGGCGAGGGCGAAGCCCCAGGAAACUGGGGUGGAGGCCCGUAGCCGUUGUGACGUGCAAAUCCA